rnacentral:rRNA from 1 species
AAGUCGUAACAAGGUUUCCGUAGGUGAACCUGCGGAAGGAUCAUUAUUGAAUAAGCUUGAACAGGCUGUUGCUAGCUCUCAAGGGAGAAUGUGCACGCUUGUCAUCUUUAUUUCUCCAACAUGUGCAUCUUUUGUAGACCUGGAGUGUUUGUUGAUUGUUGUUCGAUUGAGGACUGCCGUGUAGUCGGCUUUGCCUUGCACUCUCCAGGCCUAUGUUUCUUUCACAACACCACUUGUUCAGAAUGUACCUAUGAAGUUAAAAAAAUAUACAACUUUCAGCAACGGAUCUCUUGGCUCUCGCAUCGAUGAAGAACGCAGCGAAAUGCGAUAAGUAAUGUGAAUUGCAGAAUUCAGUGAAUCAUCGAAUCUUUGAACGCAUCUUGCGCUCCUUGGUAUUCCGAGGAGCAUGCCUGUUUGAGUGUCAUUCAAGUUCUCAACCAUGCCAGUUUCUCUGGUCAUGGCUUUGGAUGUGGGGGUUAUUGUUUUGCUGGCUUCAAAGUCGGCUCCCCUGAAAUGCAUUAGUAGUAUCUGAGCAGAAACUACCAUAGGUGUGAUAAAUUAUCUAUGCCUUGGUGUCAACUGCAUGAGCAGAUUAUGCUGCUUCUAUAACGACGAUGAUGUUUGACAAAUUUGACCUCAAAUCAGGCAGGACUACCCGCUGAACUUAA